GCUGAGGCGUGAUGACGAGGCACUACGGUGCUGAAGCAACAAAUGCCCUGCUUCCAGGAAAAGCCUCUAAGCAUCAGGUAACAUCAAAUCGUACCCCAAACCGACACAGGUGGUCAGGUAGAGAAUACCAAGGCGCUUGAGAGAACUCGGGUGAAGGAACUAGGCAAAAUGGUGCCGUAACUUCGGGAGAAGGCACGCUGAUAUGUAGGUGAAGUCCCUUGCGGAUGGAGCUGAAAUCAGUCGAAGAUACCAGCUGGCUGCAACUGUUUAUUAAAAACACAGCACUGUGCAAACACGAAAGUGGACGUAUACGGUGUGACGCCUGCCCGGUGCCGGAAGGUUAAUUGAUGGGGUCAGCGCAAGCGAAGCUCUUGAUCGAAGCCCCGGUAAACGGCGGCCGUAACUAUAACGGUCCUAAGGUAGCGAAAUUCCUUGUCGGGUAAGUUCCGACCUGCACGAAUGGCGUAAUGAUGGCCAGGCUGUCUCCACCCGAGACUCAGUGAAAUUGAACUCGCUGUGAAGAUGCAGUGUACCCGCGGCAAGACGGAAAGACCCCGUGAACCUUUACUAUAGCUUGACACUGAACAUUGAGCCUUGAUGUGUAGGAUAGGUGGGAGGCUUUGAAGUGUGGACGCCAGUCUGCAUGGAGCCGGCCUUGAAAUACCACCCUUUAAUGUUUGAUGUUCUAACGUGGACCCGUGAUCCGGGUUGCGGACAGUGUCUGGUGGGUAGUUUGACUGGGGCGGUCUCCUCCUAAAGAGUAACGGAGGAGCACGAAGGUUGGCUAAUCCUGGUCGGACAUCAGGAGGUUAGUGCAAUGGCAUAAGCCAGCUUGACUGCGAGCGUGACGGCGCGAGCAGGUGCGAAAGCAGGUCAUAGUGAUCCGGUGGUUCUGAAUGGAAGGGCCAUCGCUCAACGGAUAAAAGGUACUCCGGGGAUAACAGGCUGAUACCGCCCAAGAGUUCAUAUCGACGGCGGUGUUUGGCACCUCGAUGUCGGCUCAUCACAUCCUGGGGCUGAAGUAGGUCCCAAGGGUAUGGCUGUUCGCCAUUUAAAGUGGUACGCGAGCUGGGUUUAGAACGUCGUGAGACAGUUCGGUCCCUAUCUGCCGUGGGCGCUGGAGAACUGAGGGGGGCUGCUCCUAGUACGAGAGGACCGGAGUGGACGCAUCACUGGUGUUCGGGUUGUCAUGCCAAUGGCACUGCCCGGUAGCUAAAUGCGGAAGAGAUAAGUGCUGAAAGCAUCUAAGCACGAAACUUGCCCCGAGAUGAGUUCUCCCUGACCCUUUAAGGGUCCUGAAGGAACGUUGAAGACGACGACGUUGAUAGGCCGGGUGUGUAAGCGCAGCGAUGCGUUGAGCUAACCGGUACUAAUGAACCGUGAGGCUUAACCUUACAACGCCGAAG
rnacentral:rRNA from 1 species